rnacentral:lncRNA from 1 species
GAUCCGAUGGGACCCAAUAUCUUCCAUUUUUUCAAAACUUAGAUUUGUAUCAUAGCACGGACAUAUAUUUAGUAGAAUAUGGUAUAACAUGUAAUUUUUGCCGAACAUAAAGGAAAGAACUCUUAUGUCUGCAUAAACACGAUAUAUGGUUAAAUGAAUUCUAGCUGUUUUCAAAUCGAUCAGGAUCGCCGGAUGGCUGAAAUAGAAAGUCAGCGGAUCUGUAUGUAUAGUGGGAUCAUAUGAAGAGUAUGCUAUUAUUUUAGAUUUAAUCAAUUUGAUGAAUUACUCCUAAAGGUUCACACCAAACUAGUGCUAGUUGAUGAGAGUUACUUCGGAAACAAAAAAAGUAAAGUCAAAAAAAUUUGAAGUAUUCUCUCAAUUCUAAUAAAAUGUAAUCGGAUCAAGUAUGAGUUUGCGAUCAGAGCAUAUAUGGAUAGAACUUAUAAAGGGGUCUCGAAAAAUAAGUAAUUUCUGCUGGGCCUUUAUCCUUUUUGUAGGUUCAGUAGGAUUCUUAUUGGUUGGAAUUUCCAGUUAUCUUGGUAGAAAUUUGAUAUCUUUUUUUCCCUCUCAGCAAAUCGUUUUUUUUCCACAAGGGAUCGUCAUGUCUUUCUACGGAAUCGCGGGUCUCUUUAUUAGCUCCUAUUUGUGGUGCACAAUUUCCUGGAAUGUAGGCAAUGGUUAUGAUCGAUUCGAUAGAAAGGAAGGCAUAGUGUGUAUUUUUCGUUGGGGAUUUCCUGGAAAAAAUCGUCGCAUAUUCCUCCGAUUCCUUAUAAAAGAUAUUCAGUCCAUUCGAAUAGAAGUUAAAGAGGGUAUUUUUGCACGCCGUGUCCUUUAUAUGGAAAUUCGAGGCCAGGGGACCAUUCCCUUAACUCGUACUGAUGAAAAUUUGACUCCACGAGAAAUUGAACAAAAGGCUGCUGAAUUGGCCUAUUUCUUGCGUGUACCAAUUGAAGUAUUUUGAGAAAUGCGUGGAAAAAUAGAUGCUUUUUCAACAAGAGGGAAAAAUGCAAGAAUCUUUUUUCCUAUAACAUAACUUAAGUGUGAAGUUUCAUCAGAAGGUUUAUUCAAGCUAAAGCGGGCGGAACAACCAUAAACGGAAACUUUUUUCGUGAUUUUUUAUACGUGUGCAAAUCCACGCAACUAAAAUUAAACAAGUAACAAAUCGAAAUAAUAUAUUCAUCUCAUAUAUCAAACUAUUUCGGUAUAAAGAAAUUAAUCUUCUUUUUAAGUUCAAUAUUUAGUUGGAAUUGAUACAGAUAAAUCCUAUUUUAUAAAUUAUUUUUUUUGUCAAUCGACGUUUUUUUCUCCUUUCUUUUGCGUUCCUUAAUGACCAAUACAAAAAUAACAAUUAGAUUUCUUAAUAAUGAUAACUAGCCAAUUUCUGUCUUGUUUUGCCACUUUGAUUAUCGCAAUCUCCUUCCCUCAAUUAUUUUAUUCCUGACUGUGGGUAAUCAGUAAAUUUGUUUUGAAAUAUUGGAUAUUUUGAUAUUUGAGAGAAAAGGAGUUCUUUCGUCUCAAAAUAUAACUAAUAUUCAUUACUUAAAUUAAAGUGGUUCUUUCGAUCAUUCAUCGAAAAAAGACACUUGUUUUGUUGACCGAUUGAGAUAUCGGAAAAGGUUAUUUUUUAAUAUUUCUUCAUUCAAAGUGGAUUCUUAAUUGAUUUCUCUAUUCUUUCUAGAUUCAAUAACCGCAAAGAAAAUAGAUUUAUAGGUUUCAUACUUUGUAUAGAACUCAUGUGUGAAAGAAAUAUUAGAUUGCAUAGAGUCAAUGAAUGAGGUGGGUUGAUUAACAAUUCACAGAUGAAAAAUGACAAAAAAGAAAGCAUUCACUCCCCUUUUAUAUCUUGUAUCUAUAGUAUUUUUGCCCUGGUGGCUUUCUCUCUCAUUUAAUAAAAGUCUGGAAUCUUGGGUUAAUAAUUGGUGGAAUGCUGGGCAAUCCGAAAUUUUUUUGAAUGAUAUUCAAGAAAAGAGUAUUCUAGAAAAAUUCAUAGAAUUAGAGGAACUCCUCGUCUUAGACGAACUGAUCGAGGAAUACUCGGAGACACAUCUACAAAAAUUUCGUAUAGGAAUCCAAAAAGAAGCGAUCCAAUUAAUCAACAUAUACAACGAGGGUCGGAUCCAUACGAUUUUGCACUUCUCGACAAAUAUAAUCUGUUUUGUUAUUCUAAGCGGUUUUUCUAUUUUGGGUAAUGAAGAACUUGUUAUUCUUAACUCUUGGACCCAGAAAUUCCUAUAUAACUUAAGCGACACAGUCAAAGCUUUUUCUAUUCUUUUAUUAACGGAUUUAUGUAUCGGAUUCCAUUCACCUCAUGGUUGGGAACUAAUGGUUGGCUCUGUCUACAAAGAUCUUGGAUUUGUUCAUAAUGAUCAAAUUAUAUCUGGUCUUGUUUCCACUUUUCCAGUCAUUCUUGAUACAAUUUUUAAAUAUUGGAUUUUCCGUUAUUUAAAUCGUGUAUCUCCUUCACUUGUAGUUAUUUAUCAUUCAAUGAAUGACUGAUAAAAGAUCCACUGAUAUUAAUCUAAUCCAACCAGAACCUUUGUUACUUUGUAGUUGUACAUAAACAAAACAUUGCAAGUCCUACUUACGCUUUCUAUUUCGACCCAUCUGGGGGGAUUCAUCCUAUAAUUAUAUUCCAGUAAAAUAUUAUUCCAUUAAAUUUAUUCCAGUAACUAGCAGAAUCGUGGAUAGGGAACUAUACUAGCGACUUACCCCCACUUAUUGUCUAUUGUAGAAAUUUUGGGAUCAACGAUUGGAC